UCCAAGUCCGGCCCCGCCCGGCCUCUGGGUUCAGCGCCUAGGGGUGAUCUAGCUUAGACGUGGUCUCCUUCCCGCCGGAGUACGAGAAAACGCUGAACGCAGCUUUGCCCGCAGCCCCUUCCAGGCCGGGCCAGAGCCCAGAUUGGGCCUGGGUCUCCGCUGAGUAGGGGAAGACGAGGCCGCCUCCUAGGCAGAGUGGGAAAUAGAAACCUCGAAUAGGACACGUUGAUUCCUCCGGGGCUGAGUGUUAAAAUGAACUGACAGCGAGAUUCUCGGGAUUAACCCAAAGGUCGAUCUGUCUGCACUCUGACCCCAGCUGGACUUUAGCCACCUGGAGUCAAGGUCUCCUGCAUCCGGAAGGAGAACCUAAAUCAAGGAGCUCCGAACUGCUCACGUCCUGGAGGGUAAAAGGAAGCAAUCUGUACGAGGUUCUCCAAGUUCCCCAAGCACGCGUGGAGGAAGGUGUUUGUAGAAGAAAGACCACAUGAUUAGAUUUCUUCCGUCCCUCCCCCCUCCCCAAGAAGAA